AGAUAUUAGCUAGCUAAUGGAAAAUGAGUUUAUUUAGUACAAGGUAUAAAAUGCAUGCAGAAUAGAGGAGAGGACUUACCUGAACAGGGUUAUACGUAACCUGACCAUCAAGGGGACCGUCGGAUGGCUGUUUAAGAGAUGUUUAAAGCCGUGUGGAGGACAUCAGUUCACAUUGUGAUAGACGGUUAUUCACCAAAUAUUUGGGCCAAGGACUAAACUAAAUGUGCCUAUAAUUCGCCCACGCAGUGCGUACAUACGAUACAUACAUUUGCAUUUAGAUGUACACAUUUUAUUUGAAGGGGUGGGGUGAACUAGAUGUCGGAACACAUAUCAAUGCUUCACCAUAUAGUGCGUUCUUGUAUGGCGGUCAUUGCCUCAUCUACCGAUUUCCAGAAAGGGUUCUGAUAUUUAUAGAGUGGAAGAGACCCUGUGCGAGUGGUCCCUAUCCAUUAUGUACCAAAAGCUUUUGUUUAUUCGACUACUUACAGUACACGAACCAACCAUAGUGGCAAUAUCGGAGAUCGGCUCGGCGGUUUCGGCGGUCUUGGAAAAAAAAAAUGUUUCCAAACAUUCGCCGAUCGGCUGAUCGGCAAUUUUGUAAAAUAUUUAUUUCAACAAGAAUUACGUUUGCACUUCAUCCAACGCGUAGAACUGUUCAUUAGGAUUAUAUUGACCAUGUUUACAUGCACAUUGUUAUUAACAGCUUCAAGUCAUAAAAGUGAAACACCAAUUUUUAAAAAUAAAUAAAUAGUGAAACUGACUCACAUGCAACUUGCGUCAGCUGUGGAAGAAUUCAUUAUAUAUGAUGGGGAUCAGUUUGAUCAGUUUGAGUUUUCGAUGUGCCACCGAUUUAAAAAAAAAAAAAAAAAAAAAAAAUGGGGAGGGGGUGGUUUGAGGGACGGAUGUUUAAAACCAAAUUGGCUAUCAGACUAUUUUGUUCCACACCAGUAACAACUUGCUGCGAUUCUGCAAAUUCGCACCGGUCACUUUGCUGCGAAUCUGUGACCUCUUUAUCUGUCGGUUGUUGUUAACUGCCGAUAUGUUAUAAAUUUUAUUUAAUUU